UACAAAAGCUACUGUAGCCCUGAUUGGUUAUGUACUGCUAAAAAGAGACAGAUAAAUAUUGCCCCCAUUUAAAAAAUUUUUUUAAACUAAGUAAAGAUUGACUUUGGGGAAAAUAAGGUAACUACUGUGACACUGGUUGAUAAGACUGUGCAUGUAUCUUUAAGACUGCUAUUCUUCUUAAACCUAGCUUCACCAGCGGAGGCACCCUAAGUGGUACACUAGGCUGACAAUUAGGCGUGGACGCUAGUAGAGUGGAGGAGUUCAGGUGUACACGCGAAGGAGAGUGCUCCUAAUUUAAGUUUUGUUCACAUAUUUUUACAGCUUCUAGGUCAUGUGACCCUGUGACCCCAAACUAGUACUAAAAUAAUCUACUUGGACACCUCCACAAGCUUCUAGGUCAUGUGACCCUGUGACCCAAAACUAGUACUAAAAUAAUCUACUUGGACACCUCCACAAGUUCAACAUAGCACAUCCUGGCAAAGAACUCUCUGAGGAUCUGAAAAAAAGAAUUGUUGCUCUACAUGAAGAUGGCCUAGGCUAUAAGAAGAUCCUGAAACUGAGCUGCAGCACGACUGGAUUACUGUAACUCUCUACUGGCAGAUCUUCCUCUGAAUGAAAUUUGUCCUCUGUAAAUGAUCCAACAUGCAGCUGCACGACGACUUUUCAACCUGUCUAAGUUCUCACACACCACAACACUCCUGCGCUCCCUCCACUGGCUUCCAGUAGCUUCAGGCAUCAGAUUCAAAACACUGACUCUUGUCUACAAAGCCAAGAAUGGACCAGCUCCCUCUUACCUAAAAGCUCUUAUUACCCCUCGCACUGCGCCACGCUCUCUCUGAUCUACUAGCACUGCUUGACUAGUCCCACCAUCUCUCAGGGUAAGAGGUGGGUAUACAUCUAGGUUCUUCUUUGUUCUGGCACCGAGGUGGUGGAAUAAACUUCCCCAAGAUCUUCAAACACCAGAAGAAGACCUACAUCUUCCUGAAACACUUAAACUAGCUUAUUUUCCCUGUUUGUUUUAUGAAUUGUUGUAUGUUGUAAAAGAAAAAAAAAGUUUUUAGAUGUCCUAAGUCUGUUGCCUAUUGAACCAGUGUUAAUGUAUUCACUGACAAAGACUUCAAAGCACUUUUGUACGUCCCUCUGGAUAAGAGCGUCUGCCUAAUGCCAGAAAUGUAAAUGUAAAUGAAUGAAAAUCAUAAUCACGCAAUUGCCAUUUUGUUCUCAGAUCUUGAAAUUAUUUUAUUUUCUUCAUUUCCAUCAAAGUAAUGAUAAUAAUCAUAAUUUAGACGUAUAAACAUAUACAUGCUUUGGGUGAACUUUCUGUAGAUUCAAUUUCAUAACCAUUUAUCAUUUGGAUAACAGAAUGAAAAGAAUGGCCUUAUAGCUGUGAAGUAUAUCGGAGGUUUCACCCUUUCUAGUACUAGAACAUGAUCUUUGGACUGUUUGUACUUCUUAUAUAUGUGCAUUCACAUGAGCUUUUCACCUACAUACAUAUAUUCAAACAGUGUGGUCUGGGUUUACUUCCUGAAGGAUUUUCACACAAUACUGUAGUUCUGUGCAACCAGCAAGAUUUUAUUUUAUUUAGGUAAGUAACUCUAACUCUCCUUAUUUCUCCUGUUUCCGCAGUAAAAACAUCCAAUGAAGUAAAUUUGUAUUUAUACUACUACUACUACUGCCACUAUUGCUGCUACUACUACUACUACUACUUCUACUACUACUACUACUAAUUACAACAACUGCUGCUACUACUACUACUGCUGCUAUUACAACAGCUACUAGUACUACUGCUACUAUUGCUGCUGCUACUACUACUACUACUUUAAUUACAACAAUUGCUACUACUACUACUACUACUACUUUAAAUCCCAACAAUGGACUCUUCUCUCUGUUGAGGUCAGGGAAACGUUUCCGUUCCUUGAAGGGGAACACAGAGAGAAUGAGGAGGAGCUUCUUCCUGCAGGCCAUUCGGGCCCUCAACCAGUACACCUAGGAUCUGGACUCUCUGGUCUUACCCCUACACAACAUAACAUAACAUUCUGCCUCAGCUGAUUGUUGCACAUGCUAAUAUUGCACUACUCUGUACACACAAUAACACUCACUGUACAUCUUCUCUGUCCAUCUUUGUGUGCACACUGCACUGUCACUUUACUCCCUGUUACACUGGACAUUAUAUUUUGCCUUAUAUACACUUCUACAAUAUAUUUAUAUAUUUAUCUUACAUAUGCACACUGUACAUACUAUAUUCUUUUGCAACACCAUUUCAAUGUUGACCAUUUUAUUUACAUAUAUUCAUAUACUGUAUCUUCUGUACAUUAUAGAGUCUACACAUAUAUUUAUUUAUAUUGUUUUAUUUUUCACAUAUACUAUACAUAUAC